AGCCAGUGUGGUGUAGUGGUUUCAGUUUUGGACUAUGGCUCUGGAGAUCAGAGUUCAAUUCCCUGCUUGGCUA